UACAAAUACAUUUUGUUUUCAGCCAACGUUUGAGUUUCCAAGCAUUUAUAGUUUAAGACAAUCCCUAAGUACCUAAUGAUUUCAACAAAAGGGUGGUUGUUGUUAUGUUAACUUGUAUGCUAGAUCCUGUCAUCAUAAUUUACAAUAAAAAAAAUCAUCAGAAAAUUGUUAAUCUACGAUUGCCGCUGUAGUCUUGGUCAAUGACCGACCGAUGAGGCGUAAUUGAUUGUGAUAAUUCGUUGUAGUCCUGCAGUCCCACCUUGCGGCGUUUCCUUGUAUGUUUGAAUCGCACGUUUAUUCUUCUGCUGCUGUUUCUUUUUUUUUUUUUUUUUUAUGUUUUAACGUAUUAGGGCUGAAGGGUUUGAAGGGGAAAAAAAACAUGUAUUGCUAUUUUUCUGACGGAUAUAGACAUUUUGAUUCGAUUUGCGAUGUUGUUGAAAUCAAUCUUAAGCUUUCACUACUGACAAUGUGCGUUAAUACAGACGUAAAAGGACAUUAUACCAUUAGAAAUAUUAAAAU